ACGCUCGACACCUACUGGAGGCAGCAGUGGGGAAUAUUGCACAAUGGGGGAAACCCUGAUGCAGCGACGCCGCGUGAGCGAAGAAGUAUUUCGGUAUGUAAAGCUCUAUCAGCAGGGAAGAAGAAAGACGGUACCUGACUAAGAAGCCCCGGCUAACUACGUGCCAGCGGCAGCGGUAAGUCUGAGCGGGCUGGCAAGGC
rnacentral:rRNA from 1 species